rnacentral:lncRNA from 1 species
AAGGCUACCCUAGGCUAGCCUUGAUUUCAAGGGGAGUUCUAGGCCAGUCUAGGGUAAAGAGUGAGUUAGAGUCAAAAAAAAAAAAAAAAACAAAACAAACAAAAAAAAACACCAAAACAAGCAAGCAAAAUCCCCCAAAAUACGAAACAAACAACAACAAAAACAGGAGAAAAAGAAUUCUCACUGCCCACAAGUUGCUGACUUUAUUGUAGAAGAUAAAGUAAGUAGAUGGCAGCGUUUCCCAUCAGUGAUCCCCACUGUACUAAGUACUGAAGCUAAGUAAUGCUGUCUUUGAAACAAAGGGAUUAAAGAGGUUAGAGCUCAGCAAGAGAGAGCUUUUUAGGAAAAGCGUUUCUUGGAGUUUGCGUUCCAGGAAUAAGAAAAAAGCAUAAGCUAGGUGUUAUAAAAGUAACUUUUACUCUCCUGAAGCAGUUGUGGUCUUGAAGGCUUACUGCACCAUUCUACUAACCUCGGGCUAGUCCUGGAAGCUGCUAGCAUCUUAUCUAGGCCUCUGAGAUUUACUGCUGAAUAAGCUCACCCUUUCUAGUUCAUUCUGAAUUUUGGCUCGCCAGUUCAACUCAGCUGUUCUGGCUCAAACUCCUCUUCAAGCUGACUGAUUCAAUCUAGCUUCUCCCAGUUUCUGACUGCUAACUUUAGCAAUUUGUUCUAAUCUUCUGACUCCUUUUUCUCUUUCUCUAACCUGUCUCUGUACAACUGUCCCAGUAAAACUUUGCCUUCUCUCUCUACACUGUUCCCUUAAGUACCUUCCCUUUCCUCUUUCUUUUCAUGAGAGUUGGGCAUAUCUAUUCUGUCAAAUCUUUCUCUGAUUCAUCACUUUGUCUGCCACUCAAUUAGACAUCACUUUCAAACAAGGGUGCUUUCUUCUACAAACUAACUUCAUUGUUUGGAAUUAAAGGUGUGUACUAAGGGCCUGUCUGUAUUCCAGCCAAAGGGAUUAAAGGUUUGUGCUAAGGGCUGAGCCACACCACAACUAGGAACAGAUUUUUUUUUUUCAGUAAAAUAACACAAUCUUGGAGUUCAUAGUGUGAUCAAAUAUCCUGCAACAAGGUAUGGAAACAUGUCUCUAUAAUCCACGACUCAGAAGACUGAAGAGGCUAGAUUCAGGCCAACAUGAGGUACAAAGCAAAUUGGGGGUCAAUCUGGGCUGUAUAGUAAGAUGCUGUAUCAACAACAAUAACAACAACAACAACUAUAUACAUACGGCUUUUGGUUGGCUUAGUAAGUAGAACUUCAUUCCUGACUCAUAUUGUAGGAGAGAACUGAGUCCUGCAAACUGUUCUCUGACAUCCACAUGUCUAACAGGGCUUCUGCAUAUCCACACACAUACACAAAUACUCACAUGCAAAAUAAGUAAUUUUUAAGCCUUAGCCUACAUUACAAAAUGCCAGCGUUCAGAGCAUGAUGAACCUCAGCAGGCAUCAUGCCUACAUGGACCAAGCUUCCACUGAGCCCUGAGCAUGUGGAGCUGUCAGGAAGGCUCACUCAGUGGUAGCAUGCUGGUCUAGUAUUUGUGAGGUCAAAGGUUGGAUCCUGUGUGAGCAGAUUGUAUUAAAAAUGAGUGUAGAAUUGAUUGAAGAAAUGGAAAC